rnacentral:rRNA from 1 species
GGGUGAGUAACACGUGGAUAACCUACCUAUAAGACUGGGAUAACUUCGGGAAACCGGAGCUAAUACCGGAUAAUAUUUUGAACCGCAUGGCUCAAAAGUGAAAGACGGUCUUGCUGUCACUUAUAGAUGGAUCCGCGCUGCAUUAGCCAGUUGGUAAGGUAACGGCUUACCAAGGCAACGAUGCAUAGUCGACCUGAGAGGGUGAUCGGCCACACUGGAACUGAGACACGGUCCAG